AGGAACUGCCUUUCAGGCAUCCUCUCCUAAAACUUCCAGGCUGGUCUUCGGACCGGCCUUUUUUUUGGCCGCG
rnacentral:sRNA from 1 species